GCGAUCAUACCAGCACUAAUGCACCGGAUCCCAUCAGAACUCCGAAGUUAAGCGUGCUUGGGCGAGAGCAGUACUAGGAUGGGUGACCCCCUGGGAAGUCCUCUUGUUGCACCU
rnacentral:rRNA from 1 species